AUGUAAGAGAGAGACAGCGAAAAGACACCCUGGGAGGCUCUCCUGGUUCCUGUGUAUGGACACUCCAUAUGUCUGCUGCACAAAUAGCCCCAUAUAUGGGCGAGUCAGGUACAAACUUGCUUUUGCUGGCCAAGCUCCCUUUGCUUCUAAUGGUGGCGUGACUGGUGACCAAUUUUCUAACAGCAGUUUCCUUUCCACCGUGCUGAUGUUUCCAGAAUAAAACCCUCUCCUGUCCACCUCGGGCUCCUGAGGACCCCCAGUCUGCCUCCCGCUAACCUCCCAGGUGCCCGUUUUCUUCCUUUCCUGUGGUGAUAUUACAUUCAGAGUAAGAUGGUGAAAUUGUGCUUGUUCUGCGGUUGGUAGACGCCAGCGUCCAUGAAAACAGCAGCCUCCUGUUUGUCUCUGACUGUCCUCCCCCCCGGAGAAGGGGACUCUAAGAAUAGUUAAACCCAGACUGGAACCUUGGUCUCUAGCGUUGCUAGUUAGAAUCAACAUCGUAGCCACAGUGGACCUGACCUACCUGAGAUGGAGGUCGGUGUUAAUUAUGAAGCGACUCACGCUAGGGCUUCCCACUUGCUUAGCGCUUUUAAUUCAUGCGUGUAUUUCACCUUAACUAUAUCCAAUAAAUCCUGUACGGAAAAUUCUUCUUAAUAUCACUGUGGAAGAAGGGUCCAAAAAUUAACAUCUCUUCGUGGUUGGAAAAGUGACUUGAUGAAGGGAAAGGACACACUCAUUACAAAAAUACCAUUUCCCUUCACAGAUUUGAGGCCCCUGGGUGACACUCUUUUGCAUCUUAACAUAAAAUAUGUAAUGCAGAACCUUCUGGUGUUAACAGAUAGCGGCCAGAGUGCUCUGCCCUGGGCCUUUUGCGAAGAUGCUAGAUAGUCACGCCUCAAGGAGUGUAAAGAAAAUAUUUCUCCCAUAAAUACGGGGUCCUGCUCAUCAAUGAGAAGACACUCUGGAAGGCACUGUCAAUAGCAAAUGCUGUCUGGGGGCAGAGACACUUUCCUGAAUUAAAAAGUCACGUAUGUGUGAGACUAGGCACAUGCAUUUCCAUGCUGAGAAAUGGAUGUCAGUGUUGGAGAAGCUACAGGAAACACUCCUUAGAAAAUAAAACCAAUCUUCCAGAGAACCACCCGCAGGACCCGUUCAUUCAUCACUGGCAGAUCUCCGGCGAAGGAAGAGAAGGCUUCCAAGAGCCCGUGCUUUGGGGGCACACGGCCUCCUUCUGCACUUCCUGGAGAGCUGCCUGUGUUCAAAGAAACCAGAGCUUUCUUCCCGUCACGCCCCUGCUUUCCACGCAGAGCACUUCAGCUGACAAAGCGCUGAUUUUCAGCUCUCCACCGCUCCUCUGGCUGUCAGGAGCUCACAUUUCUCUCUUAAGGUAGAUCCUCUAAGGCCCCUGGAGCGACUGUGCAUUUGAAAGCACUUUGUCUGAAAAGCUUUUUCUCAUUCUUUUUUUUUUUUUUUUCUUAUUCUUUCACAGGGAGAAUUUAUUUCAGAGGGUUGCUUUGUACUCUUUGUGUAUAAAUAUAGAGAGAUAGAGAUAUAGGGAGAGGAGAGACAGAGACAGAUAGAGCUCUGCGGUGGCUGCUUCUUCUCCGUCACCUGCUCUCUGAUUUGCAUGUCUUUCUGCUGUGCUCUUCCCUGGGGGCAGGUAGAGGUAUUCUGGGGCUUUUUGUG